rnacentral:rRNA from 1 species
AUUGAACGCUGGCGGAAUGCUUUACACAUGCAAGUCGAACGGCAGCACGGACUUCGGUCUGGUGGCGAGUGGCGAACGGGUGAGUAAUGUAUCGGAACGUGCCCAGUCGUGGGGGAUAACGUGGUGAAAAUUACGCUAAUACCGCAUACGAUCUAUGGAUGAAAGCGGGGGAUCGCAAGACCUCGCGCGAUUGGAGCGGCCGAUAUCAGAUUAGGUAGUUGGUGGGGUAAAGGCCCACCAAGCCAACGAUCUGUAGCUGGUCUGAGAGGAAGACCAGCCACACUGGAACUGAGACACGGUCCAGACUCCUACGGGAGGCAGCAGUGGGGAAUUUUGGACAAUGGGCGAAAGCCUGAUCCAGCCAUUCCGCGUGCAGGAUGAAGGCCCUCGGGUUGUAAACUGCUUUUGUACAGAACGAAAAGGUUUCUACUAAUACUAGGAGCUCAUGACGGUACUGUAAGAAUAAGCACCGGCUAACUACGUGCCAGCCGCCGCGGUAA